GACGAACGCUGGCGGCGUGCCUAAUACAUGCAAGUAGAACGCUGAAGAGAGGAGCUUGCUCUUCUUGGAUGAGUUGCGAACGGGUGAGUAACGCGUAGGUAACCUGCCUUGUAGCGGGGGAUAACUAUUGGAAACGAUAGCUAAUACCGCAUAACAAUGGAUGACACAUGUCAUUUAUUUGAAAGGGGCAAUUGCUCCACUACAAGAUGGACCUGCGUUGUAUUAGCUAGUAGGUGAGGUAAUGGCUCACCUAGGCGACGAUACAUAGCCGACCUGAGAGGGUGAUCGGCCACACUGGAACUGAGACACGGCCCAGACUCCUCCGGGAGGCAGCAGUAGGGAAUCUUCGGCAAUGGGGGAAACCCUGACGGAGCAACGCCGCGUGAGGGAAGAAGGUUUUCGGAUCGUAAAACUCUGUUGUAAGGGAAGAACGGGUGUGUAAGUGAAAAUGCACGUCUGGACGGUAACUUAUCAAAAAGGGACCGCUAACUACGGG
rnacentral:rRNA from 1 species